rnacentral:tRNA from 1 species
UGUCUCAUGGUGUAAUGGUAGCACUGCAGAUUCUGGCUCUGCCUGUCCGGGUUCAAAUCCUGGUGAGACAA